rnacentral:misc_RNA from 1 species
GGCCAAGAACCAUUUGAGCUUUAUUCUUCUUGUUGUUCUUUUGCAGCUCUUCUAUUCAGGAAGGGGGGAAUUGCAAAUUAAUUAUUAUGCAAAAAGUUGCCCAAAAGCUGAAGAAAUUAUAAAACAGCAAGUUGUUGAUCUCUACUAUGAACAUGGAAACACUGCCGUUUCUUGGCUCAGAAAUCUCUUCCAUGAUUGCGUUGUUAAGUCUUGCGAUGCAUCUCUAUUAUUGGACACAGUGGUGGGAGUGGAAUCAGAGAAAGAUUCAGACAGAAGUUUUGGGAUGAGAAAUUUCAAGUACGUAAAUAAGAUCAAAGCUGCUGUUGAAAAAGAAUGUCCUCUCACUGUUUCUUGUGCCGAUAUUGUUGCAUUAUCUGCGAGAGAUGGCAUAGUUAUGUUAAAAGGGCCUCGUAUAGAGUUGAAAACAGGGAGAAGAGACAGCAAAGUGAGUUAUUCAAAUCUUGUUGAAGAGUUGGUUCCAAAGCACAAUGAAUCUCUUCUAAAUGUUCUCUCCCGCUUUAACUCCAUUGGCAUUGAUACUGAAGCAACCGUCGCUCUUUUAGGAGCCCACUCAGUAGGACGAGUCCAUUGUGUAAACUUAGUGGAGAGAUUAUAUCCAACCAUUGAUCCAACCAUUGAUCCAGAAUAUGCAAAAUACUUAAAACUUCGAUGCCCGACGCCAAAUCCUGAUCCAAAUGCAGUAUUAUAUUCAAGAAACGACCGUGAAACUCCGAUGGUUUUGGAUAAUAUGUACUAUACUAAUAUACUCAAACACAAGGGGUUGCUCAUAGUGGAUCAAGAAUUGGCUUCUAAUCCUUUAACUUUACCUUAUGUCAAGAAAUUUGCUGCCGAUAAUCUCUAUUUUCAUGCCCAAUUCUCUAGGGGAAUUCGUUUGUUGUCUGAGAAUAAUCCCCUCACUGGAGAUCAAGGUGAGAUUAGGAAAGAUUGUCGCUUUGUUAAUUAAUUAAAACUCAAUUAAUUGAGUUGGGUUAUGG